GACGUAGGGCGCGAGCGUUGUCCGGAUUUAUUGGGCGUAAAGAGCUCGUAGGCGGCUUGUCGCGUCGACUGUGAAAUCCCCGGCGGCUCAACCGCGGGUCUGCAGUCGAUACGGGCAGGCUAGAGUUCGGUAGGGGAGACUGGAAUUCCUGGUGUAGCGGUGAAAUGCGCAGAUAUCAGGAGGAACACCGAUGGCGAAGGCAGGUCUCUGGGCCGAUACUGACGCUGAGGAGCGAAAGCGUGGGGAGCGAACAGG
rnacentral:rRNA from 1 species